rnacentral:lncRNA from 1 species
AUUAAGUCUAAUGAAGGUUUCUAAGAUUUCUUACAAUCUACUAAUUGGAUUAGAGUAAAAAUUACGUAUGUGAGUAGUAGACUUGUUUUUCUACAUAUAUGAGAAUUUUGAGAACAAUUGAAUGGUACAAAUGGAAGAUAUUAGUAUUGGAAGAUCAAUAUUAAGAUUGGAGAAGGAGGCCAAUCAAUAUCUCAGUAAAUUUUAGGAUUUUUUUUUUAUUUGAUAAGUGUAAUUGACUUCAAAUUUGUUAUAUUUUUUUGUAAUUAAGAAAUUGAGAGUUAUAUAAGAUUUUAAAUAAGAUCAAUAAUUUAAUCAAAAGAUAUCAAGGUUCUAAACUACCUUAGGAUUUGGUUUAGGAUUUAGAAUUUAGUUAAGAUUUGAUUUACAAUUUAGGAUUUGUCUACGAUUUAAUUUAGGAGUUAGGAUUUGAUUAGGAUUUGAUUUAAGAUUUAAGAUUUGGUUAAAAAUUUUUUUAAGAUUUAAAAUUUGUCUAAGAUUUGGCUUCGGAUUUAAAAUUUGGUUAAGAUUUGGAUUAAAAUUUAGGUUUUUCUAAGAUUUGAUUUAAGAUUUAGGAUUUUUCUAUGGUUUGGUUUAGAGUUUAGAAUUUAUCUAGAAUUUGGUUUAGGAUUUAGGAUUUAAGAUUUGAUUAGG